rnacentral:lncRNA from 1 species
AAAAUAAAAAGAAAAAAGCUCGCUAAGUCGAAUACCAUAAAAGAUGACUUAGGCAAAAAUUAGGGCAUCUCGGUGGAUCGAAAGCUUCAAAGAAGUGGUCCAAGCAAAAUAGGGAUAACAUGAAAAAAAUGCCAUCAAAUCCUUAACAAAAAAAAAGGUGACUGCCAUUUCAAGUGAAUCUUCAUCUUCACCCUUACUUACACCU